AUUGAACGCUGGCGGCAUGCCUUACACAUGCAAGUCGAACGGUAACAGGUUAAGCCGACGAGUGGCGAACGGGUGAGUAAUAUAUCGGAACGUGCCCAGUCGUGGGGGAUAACGUAGCGAAAGCUACGCUAAUACCGCAUACGAUCUACGGAUGAAAGCGGGGGAUCGCAAGACCUCGCGCGAUUGGAGCGGCCGAUACCAGAUUAGGUUGUUGGUGAGGUAAAAGCUCACCAAGCCUGCGAUCUGUAGCUGGUCUGAGAGAACGACCAGCCACACUGGAACGGAGACACGGUCCAGACUCCUACGGGAGGCAGCAGUGGGGAAUUUUGGACAAUGGACGAAAGUCUGAUCCAGCAAUGCCGCGUGCAGGACGAAGGCCCUCGGGUUGUAAACUGCUUUUGUACGGAACGAAACGGUGAGCUCUAAUACAGUUUGCUAAUGACGGUACCGUAAGAAUAAGCACCGGCUAACUACGUGCCAGCAGCCGCCGUAA
rnacentral:rRNA from 1 species